CAGCCAUAUUGCGUUAAAAUACCAGUGCCCAUAUGAUCACCGAUGUUAAGUAACAUCAAGCUUGGUCAGUACCUAGAUGGGUGACUGCUUGGGAAUACCAA